UGCUACAUGUUAAUGAACCCCAGGUAGAGUAGCUGCUGCAUGUUAAUGGACCCCAGGAAGAGUAGCUGCUACAUGUUAAUGGACCCCAGGCAGAGUAGCUGCUACAUGUUAAUGGACCCCAGGUAGAGUAGCUGCUACAUGUUCAGUAGUUAAUGGACCCCAGGUAGAGUAGCUGCUACAUGUUCAGUAGUUAAUGGACCCCAGGUAGAGUAGCUGCUACAUGUUCAGUAGUUAAUGGACCCCAGGUAGAGUAGCUGCUACAUGUUAAUGGACCCCAGGUAGAGUAGCUGCUACAUGUUAAUGGACCCCAGGUAGAGUAGCUGCUACAUGUUAAUGGACCCCAGGUAGAGUAGCUGCUACAUGUUAAUGGACCCCAGGUAGAGUAGCUGCUACAUGUUCAGUAGUUAAUGGACCCCAGGUAGAGUAGCUGCUACAUGUUAAUGAACCCCAGGUAGAGUAGCUGCUACAUGUUAAUGGACCCCAGGUAGAGUAGCUGCUACAUGUUAAUGGACCCCAGGUAGAGUAGCUGCUACAUGUUAAUGGACCCCAGGAAGAGUAGCUGCUACAUGUUAAUGGACCC